rnacentral:rRNA from 1 species
UGUUGAGUGUAAGUUCCCGCAAACGAGGCGCAACCCCCCUUUGUUAUGUUGCCAGGCACGUAAUGGUGGAAACUUCAUAGGAGACUGCCGGGGUCAACUCGGAGGAAGGUGGGAUGAACGUCAAAUCAUCAUGCCCCUCUUGUCUUGGGCUUCACGGCAUGCUACAAUGGGCGGUACAAAGGGCUGCAAUACCGCAAGGUGGAGCGAAUCCCAAAAAGCCGGUCUCAGUUCAGAUUGAGGUCUGCAACUCGACCUCAUGAAGUCGGAGUCGCUAGUAAUCGCAGAUCAGCAACGCUGCGGUGAAUACGUUCCCGGGCCUUGUACACACCGCCCGUCAAGUCAUGAAAGUCGGUAACACCCGAAGCCAGUGGCCCAACCGCAAGGA